rnacentral:rRNA from 1 species
CGCGUAGGUGGUAGUGAAAGUCUAUGGUGGAAUCUUAGGGCUUAACCCUAAAACUGCCUUGGAAACUUCAUUACUUGAGUCAGUGAGGGGAGGGUAGAAUCCCUGGUGUAGCGGUGAAAUGCGUAGAUAUCAGGAGGAAGGCCGGUGGCGAAGGCGGCCCUCUGGCGCUGAACUGACGCUGAGGCGCGAAAGCGUGGGUAGCAAACAGGAUUAGAUACCCUGGUAGUCCACGCCCUAAACGGUGGGUACUAGGUGUAGGGCUCGUAAGGGUUCUGUGCCGAAGGGAAACCAUUAAGUACCCCGCCUGGGGAGUACGGCCGCAAGGUUGAA